rnacentral:rRNA from 1 species
GACGAACGCUGGCGGCGUGCCUAAUACAUGCAAGUAGAACGCUGAAGGAGGAGCUUGCUCUUCUGGAUGAGUUGCGAACGGGUGAGUAACGCGUAGGUAACCUGCCUGGUAGCGGGGGAUAACUAUUGGAAACGAUAGCUAAUACCGCAUAACAGUAGAUGUUGCAUGACAUUUACUUAAUAGGUGCAAUUGCAUCACUACCAGAUGGACCUGCGUUGUAUUAGCUAGUUGGUGGGGUAACGGCUCACCAAGGCGACGAUACAUAGCCGACCUGAGAGGGUGAUCGGCCACACUGGGACUGAGACACGGCCCAGACUCCUACGGGAGGCAGCAGUAGGGAAUCUUCGGCAAUGGACGGAAGUCUGACCGAGCAACGCCGCGUGAGUGAAGAAGGUUUUCGGAUCGUAAAGCUCUGUUGUAAGAGAAGAACGAGUGUGAGAGUGGAAAGUUCACACUGUGACGGUAUCUUACCAGAAAGGGACGGCUAACUACGUG